ensembl:lncRNA
UCUUCCUCUAUGUUGCCCCUCCCCAUCUCUUUCCCCACUUGCAACCACUAACUUGUUCUCUGGGAGCCUGUUUCUGUUUUGUUAUAUUCAUUUGUUUUAUUUUUUAGAAGAGUAUCACUUCCCAUUUGGACUGUAAAAGAGGGCUCCAUGAGCAUGGAAAUAGUCUUUACUUCAGAGAAGCUGAGUUGUUGUAUUUCCCUGAGGCAGCAAAUUCAUUUGCAAACACAAAGGCUCAGGGAAAUUUGCGCCCUAUUACACAGUCUCCAAAUAUUCCAGACUUGCUAAGACUCCAGUCGAAAAGGGUCAAGGCAGUUCAUCAGAUUCCCUUCCUAAUUCUCAACUUCCAAAGCAAGUUCUUCCCAGAGCACAGACAAAGGAAGACUAUCUGGCUGCCUAGUCUACAGCCCUGAGGACAAAAGCAUCAUCAGUGACAAGGAGACGUCCUGCUGGGGAGUAAGAUUUUACCGAGACCCAGUUGAGGAGACAUAUGUGGGGAACUUGGAUCGUCUGAGACAAGCUGUCAAUGCCAGGCAAGCAGCGAUAUGCGGAGGCACCAGAUGGUGGUAUUAAAUUUUCCCAUUGAUUGGAAUCCUACACACCUCAAAAACUACACUCACUAUCUACAUGGUGAGUGUUACCAAACCUCCAGCUACUGGAAUAUCAAUACCCAAGAACCAGUUGGUAGAAAGGAAUGUUGCUUUUAAUCAGAAUGCCACUAAUCUGGGGAGAUGGACUCAAUGUCUCCCAAAAACUGUUUCCCAAGAUUCUGCUUGGCCAUGAAAGUUUUUAAGGGAAAAAGAGAAGUAAUCCUAAUUAAUCAUUGAGAUGGGGGUCAGAAUUCUCACUCUUCCCCACUGGGUACAGGCUUGUUGACUUCUUGUGAUCUUUAUUUUUUUCCACUUUUAUUUUUUUUCCUGUUUUUGACUGCACCGUGCAGCAUGCAGGACCUUCGUUCCCUGACCAGGGAUCGAACUCACACUCCUAUCAGUGGAAGCAUGUAUCUUAGCUGCUGAACUGCCAGGUAAGUCCCUUGUGAUCUUUCUUUAGAUGCCCUCUUUUUCACACAGUUUGUUUGCAAGAUCACUGAAGGGGAAGCUAGAGAAGAGAUCUGGCCAUCUGUUAAUCACUCAUUCUUAAUUUCUACUUCUUUGAUCUGUUGAAAGAACCAAUAAGUGGGGCAAGAUAUUGUAUGGUCAAAAAAUUUGAAAGGUAUGCUAGGGUCAGGAAUGCAUAGAAUAUUGCGGCCCCUGAUUUAAAAGUUAGCUCCAAUGUAGCUUUGCUUAAAUUGACAAGAAAAGGGUUUUCCUGCUGAGAGUGAUUUCCUGCAAAGACUUGCUUACAAAUGUACUCAAUAAAUGGAACCACCUUUAUAAGGUAAGACAACACCAGUGGGGUGAGAAACUUCUUUCCAAAAUAGGAAAAACUUAUAACCAUGUAUAGAUUAUCAUCAAGGCAAGGCCAGGAUACUAUCCUAACAAUGCUCAGAAAUAUCAUCUAAUCUCUGUCAGCUUUGUCCAGACUUUAAUUUUCUUUAAACUCAAUCUCCUUAAGCUGAUUCCUAAUUAACUUGUUACUCUUCAAAAUAUCUUCUUUGUCAACUUCCUCAUUGUUCCCCUAGGGGAGGAAAAGUAAUUUUCCCUCUACUCUUUUAGAUUCUUGGCUGAGAAUUCCUGUAAUUGAGGCAAACUGGCAGCAGAAAAACAAAAAAAGUUUGAUAGUAUGUACGGUUUCCCAGGUGGCUCAGUGGUAAAGAAUCUACCUGCCAAUGCAGGAAACACAGGAGAUGCAGGUUUGAUCCCUGGGUUGGGAAGAUUCCCUGGAGAA